rnacentral:rRNA from 1 species
CGUACACUCCUACGGGAGGCAGCAGUGAGGAAUAUUGGACAAUGGGUGGAAGCCUGAUCCAGCCAUCCCGCGUGCAGGAAGACGGCCCUAUGGGUUGUAAACUGCUUUUAUCUGGGGAUAAACCUACUUACGUGUAAGUAGCUGAAGGUACCAGAAGAAUAAGCACCGGCUAACUCCGUGCCAGCAGCCGCGGUAAUACGGAGGGUGCAAGCGUUAUCCGGAUUUAUUGGGUUUAAAGGGUCCGUAGGCGGACUGAUAAGUCAGUGGUGAAAUCCGACAGCUUAACUGUCGAACUGCCAUUGAUACUGUUAGUCUUGAGUAAGGUUGAAGUGGCUGGAAUAAGUAGUGUAGCGGUGAAAUGCAUAGAUAUUACUUAGAACACCAAUUGCGAAGGCAGGUCACUAAGUCUUAACUGACGCUGAUGGACGAAAGCGUGGGGAGCGAACAGGAUUAGAAACCCCAGUAGUCCCAUGA